rnacentral:rRNA from 1 species
UACGUAGGGUGCAAGCGUUGUCCGGAAUUAUUGGGCGUAAAGAGCUCGUAGGCGGUUUGUUGCGUCUAUCGUGAAAACCUGCGGCUUAACUGUGGGCUUGCGGUGGAUACGGGCAGACUUGAGUUCGGUAGGGGAGACUGGAAUUCCUGGUGUAGCGGUGAAAUGCGCAGAUAUCAGGAGGAACACCGGUGGCGAAGGCGGGUCUCUGGGCCGAUACUGACGCUGAGGAGCGAAAGCGUGGGGAGCAAACAGG